CUCUCUCUCCUUGUCUCUUAUUAUUGCCACUUGUUGUUUGCAUUAUCACAAUUCUUAUUAUUUUCUCAACAAAUUACUUUCAAUCCUUAAUUUCCCAAUCACCCCACUAAACUACGACUAGUUCAGUUUGGUUUGGCUACAUCUGGGUUGGGUGUGUCUCUGCUCACAAAAACAGUGUAUAAAAUCACAUGACAUGUUCAUUCACAUAGAAUAGUCACACAAUUGUUUUUUAACCUUUUCUAUGCUAUAAUUCGAAACAUUUAAAUUUCCUCAUAUUUUAACCAUUCAAGCGUGCUUUGUCUUUGACUUUGACUUGCACCCAAACUUUUUUAUAGAGCUUGCUUAAUGAUUUAGUGCUGAUUCUUUUCUGAAACACCAAGUGUAGUAAAAAAUAAAUAAAUUAAAACUUGUUGUCAUGCAUGAUUUCUUCUAGUUUUAAUAGCUUGACACCAUAUAGGGAUAUCCAAAUAAUUUUUUAUUUUGAUAUUUUGACACUGCAAAAGGAUAUUCAAAUUAAAAUCAUGCAAAAAAAAAAAAAAAAACCUCCUUCAAUUUACGUUUUUUCUUAAAUUUUCUGACUGACUGACUGUGAGAGAGAUAAAAAAUUGGAAUAAGGAUGCCCAUCUCAAAGCUUUUCAGGUUGACAUAUCAUCCUUCCAGUCGAUAUUCAACUUUAAGAGCUUUCUGCAGCAGUGGCUUUUGGAUUCAAAUAUGCGUACUUCGGUCCAAUUAUAUGAUCAAACAUGCAGACAGCAUGACAACAAUUUGGAUGAGCUUCAGCUUUCUUUUGAUUUGUAUAAUUUGAUCUAACUAGCAUAAGUUGCUAGUGACCUCUGCACUUUUAAUACCAAUAUUACCAUGCUCAAUUAGACUUGAACCUCAUGGAAUUGAGACCUACAAGAUUGUGUCGAAGUCGUUUUUGUCCUUUGUUUUAUGUGUUUAAUCUUCCAUUUCAGAUCUUUCUUUGUUAUGCAAAAAUUGUGUUUUUUGGUGCUACAUUUUCAGCAGAUUUUUUUUAUUGCAUCUUUGCAAAAUACAUUUUGAUGUCAUCACAAAUAAUUGUUAGUAAAUAUCUUAUUCAUUUUAGUGCCUGUGAUACAUCCCUGUUUCCUACCCACAUGAAGUUCAAUCAUGGGUUGUUUGAUGAUAAGUUUACAUGUGUUUUUCAGGAUGAUGGCUACAAAUUACAUUGGUGCAUUCUGUUUGACCAAUCUUUUACUACCACUUCUUAAAAAUAGUCCUGUGCCUUCCCAGAUCGUGAAUGUUACAUUUUUUUACUCAUCCAAAUGGUAAAAUUGGUUUGUAGUUAUGUAUGUGAACAUGUUUCUAUGAACAAUUAGUGGUUCAUUAGGGAAAAACUAGUACACUUCUAAUUAUUGCCUGUGUACUACUUGCUCAUCCUUGAUUCUAUGCCAAUGCCAUUACUUUGGCAUUGGCUCUGAAAUUGCUGUCCAUUUCUGAUACAUUCAAUCUGCCGAUAUGAUGACAUUAGUUGGAAAAAAAGUGAAAAGAGAAAAGCAAAGAAAAGAGAAGUUAAAGAAGGAGACUUGUAAAAGAAUGUUAGUGCUGGAAAUUUUGUUUGACAGGCAUAUUGAUGUGUCAAAGAGGUCACCAGGCUUAAGUUGUAAUGUUUCAUUAAUAUGGUAAAUGAAUGAAUGUGCUAACUUACUAACAUCUGACUGUUGCCUUAACUGAAAAUGGCAAAAGAAAAGUGCAUGCUGAUUGAUCCCUCAGGAUAAGAUAUGCUAUGAUGGCUUUCCAUUGAGCCAAAAAGAUAAGAUAUGCUGUAAUGAGAGUUCCUGCAAUAUCACCUUUUCCACAUGGUGCUUGAUGGUUUGUUAAAUUUCUUUAUAAGCAGGAAUUUAUAGUUAGAAGAGUUGAAACCCAUAAUUGCAUCGGCUAACAGAUUAUUUAACACAAAAUUCAUGAACUCCUUGUUCUUCAGUUUUUAAUUUGCAGGUUGACUAGGAAACUGUUUCGGGGAAGUGCUUCUCAAGAACAAAACCAUAUCCAUGUGCUCGUAUUUAUGAGAAUUCUAAAUUGCUGUGGAUCCCGGAGUAGUGGAAACCAAUAUUAUGCGAGAGGUUCCCUCGUGCCUUUCUUGUGUAGCAUUUACAUUUUACAGUCUUGAAGCUUCUCGGCCUUUUGCAAUCACCUAAAAAAGGGAUAAGCUCUGUUCUUGAUGCAGCCCUUGUGCAACCAGAUAUAUCUGGAGUAUACCUUUUCAGUGGAAAGGGUAGAACCAUUAACUCUUCUGCACUUUCGCACAACAGCAAACUUGCACAUGAACCUUGGACCACUUCAUACAAUCUGUUUAUGCAGUCAUAGCUUGCUGUUAAGGUUAAGGAAAUUUCCACGUGAAUAUUUGAUUGUAAUAGGGAGGGAAUGUCUUCAUCAACGAAAAGCAAAGAGAAAUAGCACGGAUUUGAAAUGGUGGCAGUUGCACGGAGUGCGGUUGAUGGCCUGUUCACUUCUCAGUUUGUCAGUCCUUUUGCAUCAUGGAUGUUGUGAUAGAUGCAGUCUUGCAGUUGCAGAGCUGUAAUUGGAACUUGUUUAUGUUAUUUCUUUGCAAAAGCCUCGAGAGCUUUUCAGAUAUCAUGGUUCUUUAAAAGUAAGAUCAGAAAAGAAAUGGUGCAACACAGCAACAGAAGCCAAAUGGAGACAUCGUUGUUCAUGUUGUUUGUGGGAAAUAGUGGAGACGUAAGUGGAACUUGUUUAAGUUUUGUGGGCUGAAUAUAUAAAAUGUUAACAACGCGUUUACAUAAAUGUUAAUUGUUUUUGUUUCAA